rnacentral:rRNA from 1 species
UACGUAGGGUGCAAGCGUUAUCCGGAAUUAUUGGGCGUAAAGCGCGUGUAGGCGGAUAUCCAAGCCUGAGGUGAAAGGUCGGGGCUCAACCCGUACAGCUGCCUUGGGACUGGGUGUCUGGAGGCAGGCAGAGGAGUGUGGAAUUCCUGGUGUAGCGGUGGAAUGCGUAGAGAUCAGGAAGACACCCGUGGCGAAGGCGGACACUCUGGGCCUGUGACUGACGCUGAGACGCGAAGCGCGGGGA